AUGCUCAAGACACCUGGAACCAUAUUGCCAUGCUCGUUAGAGUUAUGGAGCGAUGAGCUUCAUGGAAAGAAUGGCUUCAUACAGUACCGCUCCAGACUGUUGGAUCUCAUAAAAUAUAUUGCUUAUCGAAGACCAAUCCUUGCCGCCAGCAGAGUUGCACAGAGAAUUAAUAGCGUCACUGGAGAUGCAAUCACUGUAUCAAACCCCCCCAAGGAUUUGGCUGCAUUUGAAAGUGCACAGCUAGUGCUUAACAGUUAA
rnacentral:rRNA from 1 species